CCUACGGGUGGCAGCAGUGGGGAAUAUUGGUCAAUGGAGGAAACUCUGAACCAGCAACGCCGCGUGAAUGAUGAAGGUCUUCGGAUUGUAAAGUUCUUUUCUAAGGGAAGAAGAAAGUGACGGUACCUUAGGAAUAAGCCUCGGCUAACUACGUGCCAGCAGCCGCGGUAAUACGGAGGAUGCGAGCGUUAUCCGGAUUUAUUGGGUUUAAAGGGUGCGUAGGCGGAAGGUUAAGUCAGCGGUCAAAUGUCGGUGCUCAACACCGGCCUGCCGUUGAAACUGGUCUUCUUGAGUGAGCGAGAAGUAGGCGGAAUGCGUGGUGUAGCGGUGAAAUGCAUAGAUAUCACGCAGAACUCCGAUUGCGAAGGCAGCAUACCGGCGCUCAACUGACGCUGAGGCACGAAAGCGUGGGGAUCGAACAGGAUUAGAUACCCUUGUAGUC
rnacentral:rRNA from 1 species